UACGUAGGGUGCGAGCGUUGUCCGGAAUUAUUGGGCGUAAAGGGCUCGUAGGCGGUUUUGUCGCGUCGGGAGUGAAAACCUCAGGGCUUAACCCUGAGCCUGCUUCCGGAUACGGGCAGACUAGAAGGUAUGCAGGGGAGAACGGAAUUCCUGGUGUAGCGGUGAAAUGCGCAGAUAUCAGGAGGAACACCGGUGGCGAAGGCGGUUCUCUGGGCAUGUCCUGACGCUGGAGGAAGCGAAAGUGUGGGGGAGCGAACAGG
rnacentral:rRNA from 1 species